ACUUAUCCCAUAUGAAUUAACCGCUGCUCACGUCACCCGCUCGCGUCAUCAGCUGAUGGACUCGUCCAAUCAGAGCCUCGUAAACGCCGUGCAGCAGCGUCGAGUGUCCCGCAGACAGGAAGCGGGUCGUGUUUAGCUUGUCCCGUACGAGUGACUCUGUCUUCGGGGUAAAUAACUUGCUGAAGUCGACACGACGCUGUUCCCUGGAGGAGAAGAUGAGUGCGUGUGGAGGCAGAGCCGCGGGCCCGGUGUGGACGAGUCGAGGCGGAGAAGACGGGCGCACAGUCCCUGAGUUACGCCUCAGCCCCCCCCCCCCCACACACACACACAAACAAAGAGGCGUUAGGCUGAGACGCUGAAAGUCCGGAUUUAAAGUGCAGAAAAUGAAGCCAUUGAAUCUGCCUGUCCAUGACGUACAAAGACACACUAUGAGCCAGUAUGAUCCGACCAGACCUUACAUCAGCAUUGAGGAGUUGUCGGAGAAGAAAGAGGCUGAUUGAAGCGGGACAGAUGACAUGGAUCCAUCCUUCCACAGCCAGGAGUGCACCGACCUGUGUCCCACACUUCAUAUAAGACUGGAAGCUACACUGAUCUCACAGCUACACACCACAGACGUCUACACACUGGAGAAGAGUCCCACAAAGAAGUCAUGACCCAGAGGCUGCAGAGAAACAUUUCAAGCCUCAUCUGAGUUUUUGUACAAUAUUUUUGCUGUAUGUAAAUAAAGCUUUCACUCCACA